UUAAAAAUCUCAUUCAAGCAUCUGGUAAUACAUACAGACAUAUGUCUUGAUCUUGAUCUUGAUCUUUUGUCAUGAAGUUGUUCAAACACUGGAGAAAAGAAACAAAAUAUUAUUAGUAGAAAACAACUUGGGGAAUAUAAAUAAGUGCAACUAGUAAAGAGCCAUUAGGAGUUGAACAAGCCAUUUGCGCAGAACACGUUCAGAUGCAAUAAUUUUCAGAGUUAUAAUUGUUUAAUGAAAGUAAGUUAUCCAAGUUAUGAAAACUUACAUUAAACUUCACCAUGAAAGAGAAUGGGAACAGAUUGGCAAAAAAAUUGAAGGAUUAAAUUGAAAAGUAUGGAAUAAACAAAACCUCUUUUGAGAAAAGCAUGCCAUUUGUCUUCUUUAUGGCUUCAACCUUGUUUUAUAAGGAAAAUCUUAUUAUGAUUGGCUAAGGUCUUGCAAGGCUCUUCAAGUUACAAAAAUAAAUGUACUAUCUCAUAAAUAUCAUAUUAAAAAGAAAGUAAACUUACUGUCUCCUUCACAAUAACCUAUAAUAAUGCAAACAUAGCAACCUUGUAAACAAAGACAUAUGUGAACCCAUGUUAGGCUAUAGAACACCAAUAAGGUUAUGAUAUAUUAACAUCAUGAAAAUUAAAGCAUAUAAUCAAAAGGUAUAUAAAAACUAUUUAAGGGCAAUGGAUCUAAAGCCUACAAUUUCAUCCUUAAAAACGCAAUUUUCAUACAAAGUUAUUAUAUCAAUAGCUUAGAUAAAAUACAAUUAUGAAAUCUCAACCAUUCACAAUGGACCAGUCUAUCUAACCAUUCACAUUAUGAAGAUGCUGUUAUCUUCUAAUAUUGACUAUAACAAGGCUGCCCAAGCCCUUAUCUACUUGUAGUCAUUUAAUCAUAUGACUAUAACAGGUUGCCUAAACCUAGAUUGCCUAUACAUUUGGGAGAUUUUUGUAUGUUUGGUAGUGUUAUGUGGAGAGAAAUUAACUAAGUUUGAGUGUUGAAUGUGUGGUGUAUUCCUAGGGAGUUUUCUAAAGUUAUUGUCUUCCUUAAUUUCAGUUUUUAUAAUUCACCUACAUUCCUUUUGUUUUCACCUACAUCACAAUCAUAAACAAAACAACUGAGAAAACCAUUGACUAACCAGAAAAUAAUACCAAAUUGAAAUACAAAAAAGACUUACAUAUCACCAAAAAACAUAUGCUAGACUUGAUGGCAAUGUUCCAAAGAAAAAUAGAUUGAACAAGAACUAUAUAUAAAGUUUUAACUUCUGAAUCUCCGUUAAUAGAAUCAUAAACUUAACAUGAAUUCUACUUUCCAAAACUUUCUAAUCAGAAUCUUCACAUAUAUGGAGAUUUAAGAAUAAUGCUUAUCAGUAGAUAUGUUUGGUCUAUUAUCUCAACAAUAAACAUACUAGGAAAUCUAUUUCCAUAUACCAUAGCACGAUGAACUGUAUUAUUUAGGUAGCAGUUUAACAGGAAAAAAAAAAAAUGAAGAAAUCAAAUAAUAAUAAAAAACAUAUAAUAUUUCUAAUGAUUUCUUCUAUUCAUUAAAAGAAUAUAUAUAUAUAUAACACCAAAAAGUUUCAAAAGUAAUCAACUCAUAACAACCACUUUGACUUGAAAAAUAGCUCAUACGAAUCAUUGAUAAGAUUCACAAAUUAAUUCUUGAAAUUAAAAUUACUUUGAAAUCAAAUGGAAAACAUAUGAUCUAUAAUUACCAUAGCCAGCUGAACCAGCCACAAAAAUAGGCCAUCUUAUUCCAAGUUGCUCAUCAUCUAUAUCUUGUGGUUUAAUUUUUUCUAACAUAACAAAUCAUGAGUUUCAUCCAAGAAAAGGCCCAAAAAAUUAAAAACAUAGCCUCAAUCAAACUCAAACACUAAAUUAAGAUCAAGCACAACCACGUAAUUGCAGAUUAAACAUUUCUAUUUAAUUUCAAAUUACCUCUUUUUUGUUGAAAUAUUUGAAAAAACUGAAACAUUCGUAAAAACUGUACCGCGCUGUUGCAAAUACUAUGAAAGUAAGAUUGUAAGAGCCAUCUUGCAAAACUUGGUGUUGGUUGCACUGCUGCUACAGCUUAGGGUACAAAAGACGAGGACAUGGUGGUUAAGGGCUUGAAACGCUCGAUUUCUAGAGUGAGAAAGGGAGAUGUGAUUAAAGCUUUUGAUCGGAUUUUUGGAGAGAAGAAGGAAGAUGAUAGAGGAGGACAAGAAAAGAAGCUGUGCUCGAUGCUGGGUGCUGAAGGAAGCAGCAAUAGUGGCUAGAACUUGGAAGUAGGGUUUCGGCCUUUUAGAAAGAAGGAGAAAGGUGUGCCGCUCAGAGCAAGAGGAAGAGUAAGGAAAAUGAGCAGACUAGGAGAGGCUGAUAGGAGCUGGACGGCAAACAGAGCAGCUACAAGCGAUGGCUGGAACUUACAGGUGAGGUUUCGGGGUCGGAAGAAAGAAGAUAAUGGCGUCGCCGGUGAGAGAAGAAAGAAGAGGGGAAGAAAUAGAAUUAGUAUUAGGGUACUUAAAAUCUUUAAUUUAUUUUUUAAAAUAUCGACCGAAUAAUUCGGCGGUACAUUUUUGUGCCGAUAGAUUAUAUCAAUU
rnacentral:lncRNA from 1 species